rnacentral:rRNA from 1 species
UUCCAGACUCCUACGGGAGGCAGCAGUGGGGAAUAUUGCACAAUGGGGGAAACCCUGAUGCAGCAACGCCGCGUGAGUGAAGAAGUAUUUCGGUAUGUAAAGCUCUGUCAGCAGGGAAGAAGAAAGACGGUACCUGACCAAGAAGCCCCGGCUAACUACGUGCCAGCAGCCGCGGUAAUACGUAGGGGGCAAGCGUUAUCCGGAUUUACUGGGUGUAAAGGGAGCGUAGACGGCAGGGCAAGUCUGGAGUGAAAGGCAGGGGCCCAACCCCUGGACUGCUCUGGAAACUGUCCGGCUGGAGUGCAGGAGAGGUAAGUGGAAUUCCUAGUGUAGCGGUGAAAUGCGUAGAUAUUAGGAGGAACACCAGUGGCGAAGGCGGCUUACUGGACUGUAACUGACGUUGAGGCUCGAAAGCGUGGGGAGCAAACAGGAUUAGAUACCCGUGUACU